CAUCUCGUGCCCGGGUUCCAUUCCAGUGCUGACCGUUCCCAGACCAGACCAGAGAGCCAGGGGUGCAGCAGCACAAAGCCGUCACCACGAAGGGAUUCAUGGCUAUGAACUUUCAGGAAAACGUGACCUUGGCCAUGGCCGUGUUCACCAUCCUGGCCUCCAUCUACUUCUUCAACAAGGCCCAGCAAUGAGAAGACACAAGACUCUCCUGACUCAGCGGCAGACCCUACCCCCUGACUCUGGCCUCUGAGACCAAAUAAAUGUGACGCAGUCGGCA